rnacentral:rRNA from 1 species
ACGGGUGAGUAAUGUCUGGGAAACUGCCCGAUGGAGGGGGAUAACUACUGGAAACGGUAGCUAAUACCGCAUAACGUCUUCGGACCAAAGUGGGGGACCUUCGGGCCUCACACCAUCGGAUGUGCCCAGAUGGGAUUAGCUAGUAGGUGGGGUAACGGCUCACCUAGGCGACGAUCCCUAGCUGGUCUGAGAGGAUGACCAGCCACACUGGAACUGAGACACGGUCCAGACUCCUACGGGAGGCAGCAGUGGGGAAUAUUGCACAAUGGGCGCAAGCCUGAUGCAGCCAUGCCGCGUGUAUGAAGAAGGCCUUCGGGUUGUAAAGUACUUUCAGUGGGGAGGAAGGCGAAGAGGUUAAUAACCUUUUCGAUUGACGUUACCCGCAGAAGAAGCACCGGCUAACUCCGUGCCAGCAGCUGCGGUAAUACGGAGGGUGCAAGCGUUAAUCGGAAUUACUGGGCGUAAAGCGCACGCAGGCGGUCUGUCAAGUCGGAUGUGAAAUCCCCGGGCUCAACCUGGGAACUGCAUUCGAAACUGGCAGGCUAGAGUCUUGUAGAGGGGGGUAGAAUUCCAGGUGUA